rnacentral:lncRNA from 1 species
AGUAGUCAGAACCUCCAGACUGAGCAUGUCACAAGGAAGGACUGCUUUGCUGAAGCCACUCACUCCGGGAGAUUUAUAAUUGGAAGUUUGGCCCAGGGAGAUAAUCAGCCAAGAGCGCGCACGCACACACACACACACACACACACACACACACACACACACACUCUGAAGAAACCCAGUGGAGAUUCAGCACUAACCCACCACACACACACACACACACACACACACACACACACACACUCUCUGAAGAAACCCAGUGGAGAUUCAGCACUAACCCAGCACAGAAGAGGAGAAGAGACAUACAGAGGACAAGGCCAUGUCACAACAAGUGGAGACUGGAAUUAUGCAGCCACAAGCCAAGGAACCUCUGGAACCACCAGAAGCUGGAAAUGGCAGAGCCAGACCUUGAUUUCAUGCGAGAAGGUGGAGUAGGAGGAAGAGAAGGAGGAGAGUUAGAAGGAGUAGGAGGAGGAGGAAAACCUCCUGCAGGCUCGUCUGAGUAUAUUCCUAGGUGAUGGCAGAGGGGCAAGAAAGCAAGCAAAAAGAAGCACAGAAGCCCUCUCAUGGCCAAAACUGGCUUGGUGUCACUUUUACCUCAUUCUAUUGGUCAAAAAAAGUCAACAGGCUGAGCCCAGAGUCAGAGUGGGAGAGUACUGCAUGGUUACAUGACAGAGGAUGUGGAUAUGAGGAAUCGUGAAGAACUGCAUCCAUUAGAGCCAUCUGUCACAGAAGGGACUAUUGUCAUUUUACUAAUUUUGUACAUGAGGAUAGGGAAGCAUGGAGAUGGUAACAUGCCUAAAGUCACAUAGCUUCUUAGCUGUGGAACCAGAAAGUAAACCUGGGCCUUCUGGGCCCAGGGCCCGUGGCUGUUAAAACCACUGUGCACACUGCCUUACUCCUACCCUUCACAAUCAGGUUUCUGCUCUGACCACCCUAGAAAACAUGCCCGUCUCAGGUUACCGAUGCUCUCCUAUGGACAGAUCCAAUAGCCUUUGUUAAUUGUCCACAUCUCUAUCCAUUCUGUAAUACUCCUGCAUGCUGCAUCCUUGGAGUUCUUUUCUCCUUUGAUUCUGCAGAACCUGUACUGUUUUGUUUCUCUUUCUGGCUUCCUCUGUCUGUCUCUCUUCACCAACUACAUAAUGCAUUCACUUCUUUUUCUUGGCAUCUCCCUUUCCAAGCACACCCACUCUCCUGGUUUCCAUUAUCUCCCUGCAGACAACUCUCAACUGGCUCUAAGAAAGCUCACUAUAAUUUUCAGCAACCUAAUUCAGUCGUUUGUCCGUCACAAAUAACAGCUCAGGAAAAUCAAAGGAUUUUCUCACUAGCAUCUUAUCAUUCCAUGUCACCUAGCAACUAUCCCAGUGCUUGAUAUUCUGCUACUAGAAACUCCCUACUACACAGAUAAUACCACUGGAAGGUAUAAAGCCACUUGACUGACCUCUCUCCAUUCACAGCAUUUAUAACUGUAAGAAAUUGCCAGUGGUUGACUCUUUCCGACCUUCGAAAGUGGCAAUUUCAUGUGGUUCAGCUUAAUAGUAUUUAUUACCUUGUGCUGUAAUAAUUUUGUAUCUGUAUCUCCCAUGAGACUCAAAGCUGCUUGAUUGAGGAGAUCAUGCUUGCUUCUGCUUUUCAUCAAGUUGCCUAGUACAUGACACUCUGUAAGGAUUAGACCAAGUAGGUAUUGAAUAAUUGUUUGGCGAAUUUAAAAAAUUAAAGAAACAUUUGAAAUCAAUGCACCAGAGGCUAGAGACAGAGUGCUAGGAAGGGAACAGGAUGGGGACAGGGACACCAGAGCAAAGAUAGAGUCAAAGACACAUUUCCAAAAUGGCAAUUCAUGCCUUGUGUCAGUUGUACCCACCUCACAUUCUUUAACACUUAAGGUUUUUCUGGGUAGUAAGUGCAAUACAUUCUUAUUAUAAAACAAUAUAGACAGUUCAGUAUGUAUAAAUGAGGAUAAAAUCAAAAUCACCCACAAUCUCACCACUUUGUGAUAAUAACCAUUAACUUCAAUAUUGAUGAAUUUCCUUGAAUGUUUUAUCUACAAUAUUUCUUUCAUAUAGUUGAUAUCACUCUGUAUGCACAAACUUGUAUCCUUUUUCUAAAUCUUAAUAUCAUAAUAUUAGCAUUUUCUAAUGUUAGUAGAUGUACUUCUUAAAUAUUGCUUUUUAAUGAUAAAGGUUUUUUUUUUUUUUUUUACAAAUAAAGAUUUGUCUAUAUUUUGGGUUAUUUCCUUAACACAUAUUCACAAAGGUAAGAAUUAAAAAGUAAUUUUAACUAAGUCAAGGAGCAUGAAAAGUUUUUAGAUUCUUGGUACACAUUUUUAUCCAGUGUUUUAAAAAACUACUACCAUAGUACACAUCUCCAAUUUCAAUAUCUCUAUGUGAGUGCUUGCCUUAUCAUGAAAAAGUCAAUAUUGAAUAUUAUUAUUAUUUUAUUAUACUUUUAUAACUUCAUUGGCAAAAUGUUAACCUGCCAUUUUAAAGUUUGCCUUUGUUAGAUUAUUAGAGAGAUUGAAUUUGUUUUCAGACAAAUAUUUUAUUAAGUAUGUUAUUUUCUCAUGAAAAUGGUUUGUUCAUAACCUUUGCCUUUUGAUCUAUUGGAAUGUGUUUUCUAAUCAGCAAGAAUAUUAGUUUUAUUUUGCUUAUUAUAUAUUUGAAUUUACUUUUACUUUUAUAAAAAUAAUACCUGCAUAUAGUUAAAAGCCACAGGGUGCUAAAAGAUUUGUGGCAAAAUAACAGCAGUCCCUUUCUCUGAAGCCCUCCUCAGGACCUAUUCUCAUGUGUCAGAAGCAACUACUUUCAAUUUUUUAGCUGUUUCUUCUAAACAUUUUUUGACCAUUUUUUGAGGUUGGGUUUUAGGUGAGAUCUGCCAUGGUAUCCUAUUAUGAAGACAAAGAUUUUGCCUCUUUUAGACAGCCUCCUCAUUUUCUUCUUAAUCCUCCUAAAGUGGUUAAAGUGCAAUUUUUGGUUAAAUUACAAGUCAGUGUUUCUAAAUGCAACGUGGACUCAUGCAUUGGAUCCCGGAAUAGAAAAACUGGUAAAAUUAAAAUGGUAUCUAGUGUCACAUAGUACUGUAUUGACAAAUGUCACAUGGUUAUGGAAGAUAUUAAAAUGCAGGGAAUCUGGGUGAAGGGUAUACAGGUAUACAGAGACUAUAUACAGGUAUAUAGUCUCUGUACUAUAUUGACAACUGUUCUAUAAAUCUAAAGUUAUUCCUAAGGUAAAAGUUUAUUCAAGGAAAGUCAGUAUUUACACUACGAUACACAUAUAUUUGCUGCUGAGCCAAAAAGUAUGCCAUAGUUAUGGCUGCUUUGUAGUACAACAUUUACUUUUUUUUCUAGAGUUAAUACUUGCCUCAUUUUAAAUUUAUUUAUGAAACUAUGUUCCAAAUCCUCAAGUAAAUCUGUUUAACAGAUAUGACAAAUAUCUGUCAAUAUUAUUAUCCAAGUGCUUAAAUACAUCUGAUAAUCUACAGUUAAAUAUGUUUUAAUCUACAGUUAAAUAUGUUUUCCCCUGGUACCUCCUUCUUUGAGCCCUUGAUUCUACUGCUCUAAUUUGGUUGAUUGAUUUGGAACCUUCCUUUUCCUCUUCCCUGUGUUGGAUUUGCUGUUUGCUGGAUUCCUGUCUUACUUACUCUUCACUUAUCCUUUAUUUUGCUAAAAUAAAUAUAUCUUCCAUACCAUUCUAAGAAAGAGUAUAUGAUGGAUGAACAGUUGAGUCAGGGCUAAUACUAUUCUUACUCUACUCUUAUACCUGUUUGUAAUUUGAAUAGUAUAGAAUAAUAGCUGGGAAUACAUUUUCCUCCGGAUUUGGAAGGCAUUGUUCCAUAGUCUUGUAGCUUCCAGUGUGACUCUUGAAUAGUCCGAUAUGAUUCUGAUUGCAGAUUCUAAUUAUGCACCUAUUUUUCCUCCGAGGUUACUUAUUUAUUUUUUUUGAGGCGGAGUUUCGCUUUUGUUGCCCAGGCUGGAGUGCAAUGGUACAACGUUGGCUCACUCCAACCUCUGCCUCUCAGGUUCAAGCGAUUCUCCUGCCUCAGCCUCCAAAGUAGCUGGGAUUACAGGCAUGCGCCACCACCCCCAGCUAAUUUUGUAUUUUUAGUAGAGAUGGGAUUUCUCCAUGUUGGUCAGGCUGGUCUCGAACUCCCAACCUUAGGUGAUCCACCUGCCUCGGCCUCCCAAAGUGCUGGGAUUACAGGCGUGACCCACGACGCCCAGCCUCGUCUGAAUUUUUUAGCAUCUUCUCCUUAUCUAUCUCUGAAGUAACAUUUUACUAUCAUGUAUCUUGAUUAGUUUUUUCAUUCAUUCAUUCAUUCAUUCAUUCAUUCAUUCAUUCAUUCAUUCUUCUGGGCAUUUUGACAAGAUCUUUCAACCUAGAAAUACGGUUUUUCUUCUUUAUUUUCUUCUUUAUUCUCUCUGAUCUCUGGAGUUCCUACUAAUUGAGUCUUCUGGGUUGAUCCUCUAACUUUUCUCUCCUAAUCUUUUUGUUUUUGGUUUUGCUCACUUUCUGAAAUAUUUUCUCAAUUGUAUCUUCAAACUCUUCUAUUGCUUUUGAAAAAUAUGGCUAUCCUUUUUGAUGUCAGUCUUUUUGGUAGAUUUUUUAUUUUAUUUUGAAGGCUAUAGAGCAAUAACUGGUGAUCCUAAGCUGUCCAUUCAUACUUAAGAAUAAAGUAUUAAAAAACUAAUUAGGAAACUAUUCCAAGUAAUUUUAAAAUGCAAUACUAUGACUAUAAAACUGUAGUGGGUUAUACUCCAAAGACAAAAACUAUUCCAAAAUAUAUUUAAAUAGUUUUCAGUAAUCAUAUUGUUUGUACAAAUUGAUACUGUUAUUCUAAGUUGUAGAGUAUGUAUUCCUACAUAAAACAAAUGAGUAAUUAUAUGAAAUUCAAAUUCUAUCAUCCUCAGUGUUGUUGAAAUCAGAAUUUUCAUCAUGGGAGAAAGGGCACGAUAGAAGAGAUUAAAUAAAAGCUCUAGUCUGAAUUUAAAUUGAAGCAUCAUUUUAAAUUUGUCAUGUAUUUUAUCUUUUUUAAAAAAAUAAAUCUUAGCCUUGUCUACUGAAAAAGUCUAGAAAUAAUGACCGACCUAGUAGCAAUAAGUUUCCCUAGCAGCCAAAUGGUAGUCUUAUAAUACCAUUUCCCAUUGAAAGCAGCCAGAGUUAUUUAGAGAAAUGGCUGAUUCCCGGCCCAGAACAAAUUGUCCUACAGACAGCAAGAAAAACUAUGAAUGACUAAUGGCAUCAUGUCAAAAGGACUCAGGAGCCCACUUUAAAAGGCCCUUAUAGCCAAAGAUGGGACAAUUGAGCGUAAAAAGGAAAAUAAAUGCAAUGAAUUGAGACACAUUAGAUAUUUUUAAAAUCAUGAGAUCAUAAGCAUAUCAAAGAAAUCUAAUUGGUCAACAUUAGAGAACACUGGGGAACCAACUCAUUAUUUUUAAAAGCGGUAAAUAAAAAGAUGGGAUCAAAUAAUUUAUGGGAAUGUUUCUCUGUAAAAUUAUUUUACCUAAUAAAUAAAGACAAAAUAAUAGAGUUACAGUAUAGCAGUUUUGCAAAAUAAAUGAAUCUAGGUAUUGAGCUUCCGUGGCUGCUAACACCAUUCAAAAAAGACUCAGUGAAACACCAUGUACCUUCUAAUGAGCCAACCCAACACCGUCUAAGAAGUAGCUUUGCCACGAAAAUAAAUCUGAAUCUGAUCAGCCUUCAUUUCCCACUCUCAACUUAAAAGAAAUACAGAAGACAGAGGUGUAUGUUAAACUUAGCAUGAGCAAUUGCUUCCAGUUUAGCACUGGAAGUCCUGUGUCUCAGAAAGCCCCCCAGUCCUAGGCAAACCUGUGGGGUUGUCACUCUAUCUGGAAAAGUCAUCAGGAAAACCCAGAAUAUGGCAAAGCCUGUCAGUGGGGUGGGCACAAAGAUCUUGACUUUAGUUGAUUUCUUCUGCUCUCAGUCCUAAGCUUCACCCUAAUAAUUGGGCCUGAGUCUUUCUAGAGUUUGGUGAGACAAGCAGCCUGCUGCUUUAGGCUAUCUUUGUCCUCAGGCACUCACACAAAGUUGUCCAUUUUCUGGCCAUUUCUCCAUCUACUUUUUUUUUUUGGUGUGUAAAAUUGUCAUAAAAUAUACAUAACAGAAAAUUUAUCAUUUUAGCCAUUUUAAAGUGUACGUUUCAGUGACAUUAAGUACAUUCACAUUGUUGUGCAACAAUGACCACCAUCCAUCUCCAGAUCUUUUCACUAUACGCAACGGAAACUCUAUACCCAUUGAACAAUAACUCCCCAUUAUCCUUUGGCCCCACCCUGGCAACCACCAUUUAACUUUUUGUCCCUUUAGAUUUCACUACUUUAGGUACUUCAUAGAAGUAGAAUUAUACAGUAUUUGUCUUUUUGUGACUGGCGUUUUUCCCUCAGCCUGAUGUCUUCAAGGUUCAACUGUAUUUUAGCAUGUAUCAGAACUUCAUUUCUUUUUGUGGCUGAAUAAUAUUGCAUAUAUAUAUGCAUAUAUAUACAUAUAUAAUGUAUAUUUUUGUACAGUGCAUGUGUAACAUUGCAUAUAUAUGCAUAUAUAUAUAUGCUGUGUUGCUCUUUGUACAGUGACUAACAACAGAUAAUCUAUCAAUAUGUUACUACAUCAUAUUAUUUGUGCCUAAACAUUCAUUACUAAGUACACACGUUAAAGGAUGUAAAAAACACAUGUACUAAGUACACAUGUUAAAGGAUGUAAAAAGGAUGUUUUCUUUUUUGGACUUUUAAUUAAGAUCUCAAACCCGGGGAAAAUAGGUAUUAAGUAUCCCCUCAUUCAAAAGCAAGUCACUUGACUGUCUCUGCAGGACUUGCAGAGAGAAUGACUCGAAACUAAUCUGCCUUGAUACCUCCUAUCACCUCCAGGCUAUGUAAGAAUGAGCUAAGGACCAAGAGGUCCAGAGGAAGUCAGAGUGUUGGGACAUCCCCCACCCACAGGGGAGAUGAAAGCUUUUCAAAGAUUACAAAGAGGUCUGUUCUGACAGCAUAGGGAGUGAGCCUGACUUCCAGUGGAUAAGAGUGUGUGUUUCCCAUGGGACAGACAGGUGAGGACUCUGGGUUAUCCUGGAGCAAGAGCCGCUGGAAGCCAGGGCUUGACAGGAGUCAUUGGUGGCCACUGAGGAGAUAUUGUCCAUAACAGGGAGCUGCAGUUGGAGGUCUGCAGUUGGGAAUAUGCAACCCUGGAGAAGCCAAAGGCAGAGUCAGUGGGGAAGACGGGUAGAAGAUCAAGGUAGGGAGAAAUAAUGAAGGAAGUACCACAGUCCCUUUCCCUAUUGCUGAUCUCAAAACAUGAUUCACAGCAGAGCUUAGAAAGGGGGGAAGUUUUAGUUUGUGUAAAAGACUGAAGUUUGGGUAUAUGGUAUUGAAGUUUUAGAAUUUUGAACUAAUGGAAAAGUUCUGGAAUUUGCCUGAGGUCCAUCCAGUGCCAUAGAAGGAAGAUUAAAGAGAGCCAUUUUACCAGAGGAUGGUGAAAAAUACAGUGGCAUUCUGUUUACACACUACUUAGUUCAGAAAAUGGCAGGAACCUUUUGUUCCCCAGCUGCAGUGAUCCAUCUGACCCUCACCUGGUGGCACUCCAUGAGGAAAAAAUGGAGCAUUGAGAGAACUGGCACUACUCUUCUCUUUUUGGCCUCUUGCUUAGACUAACACA